UCCGGGAAGGUCUGUGUGUGAAUAGUUGUUUUUCGGGGAGGUCUGUGUGUGAAGUUGUUUUUCGGGGAGGUCUGAGUGUGAAUAGUUGUUUUUCGGGGAGGUCUGUGUGAAAAGUUGUUUUUCAGGCAGGUCUGUGUGUGAAUAGUUGUUUUUCAGGCAGGUCUGUGUGUGAAUAGUUGUUUUUCAGGCAGGUCUGUGUGUGAAUAGUUGUUUUUCGGGGAGGUCUGUGUGUGAAUAGUUGUUUUUCGGGGAGGUCUGUGUGUGAAUAGUUGUUUUUCGGGGAGGUCUGUGUGUGAAUAGUUGUUUUUCGGGGAGGUCUGUGUGUGAAUAGUUGUUUUUCAGGCAGGUCUGUGUGUGAAUAGCUGUUUUCAGGCAGGUCUGUGUGUGAAUAGUUGUUUUUCAGGGGGGUCUGUGUGUGAAUAGUUGUUUUUCAGGCAGGUCUGUGUGUGAAUAGUUGUUUUUCGGGGAGGUCUGUGUGUGAAUAGUUGGUUUUCGGGGAGGUCUGUGUGUGAAUAGUUGUUUUCCGGGCAGGUGUGUGUGUGUGAAUCGUUGUUUUUCAGGUGUGUGUGUGUGAAUAGUUGUUUUUCAGGCAGGUCUGUGUGAAUAGUUGUUUUUCGAGGAGGUCUGUGUGUGAAUAGUUGUUUUUCGAGGAGGUCUGUGUGUGAAUAGUUGUUUUUCAGGCAGGUGUGUGUGUGUGAAUAGUUGUUUUUCAGGUGUGUGUGUGUGUGAAUAGUUGUUUUUCAGGUGUGUGUGUGUGUGUGUGUGUGUGUGUGUGUGUGUGUGUAGGCCCCUGUGUAUCUGUACGCAUAUGUCUGUUUCUCUUUGUGUGUGUCAUAUUAGGUGACACCAUGACUUAUGAAAGAGGCCUCUGUUCUGAACUCCAGGUGGCUGCAUGUUGCUUACAGAGAGGUUAUACAGUACAGGACAGAGGUUAUCUUUACAGUACAGGAGAGAGGUUAUCUAUACAGUACAGGAGAGAGGUUAUACAGUACAGGAGAGAGGUUAUCUUUACAGUACAGGAGAGAGGUUAUACAGUACAGGAGAGAGGUUAUCUUUACAGUACAGGAGAGAGGUUAUACAGUACAGGAGAGAGGUUAUACAGUACAGGAGAGAGGUUAUCUAUACAGUACAGGAGAGAGGUUAUCUAUACAGUACAGGAGAGAGGUUAUCUUUACAGUACAGGAGAGAGGUUAUCUAUACAGUACAGGAGAGAGGUUAUCUUUACAGUACAGGAGAGAGGUUAUACAGUACAGGAGAGAGGUUAUCUAUACAGUACAGGAGAGAGGUUAUCUUUACAGUACAGGAGAGAGGUUAUACAGUACAGGAGAGAGGUUAUCUUUACAGUACAGGAGAGAGGUUGUCUUUACAGUACAGGAGAGAGGUUGUCUUUACAGUACAGGAGAGAGGUUAUCUAUACAGUACAGGAGAGAGGUUAUCUAUACAGUACAGGAGAGAGGUUAUACAGUACAGGAGAGAGGAUAUCUAUACAGUACAGGAGAGAGGUUAUCUAUACAGUACAGGAGAGAGGUUAUCUUUACAGUACAGGAGAGAGGUUAUACAGUACAGGAGAGAGGUUAUACAGUACAGGAGAGAGGUUAUCUAUACAGUACAGGAGAGAGGUUAUCCAUACAGUACAGGAGAGAGGUUAUACAUACAGUACAGGAGAGAGGUUAUCUUUACAGUACAGGAGAGAGGUUAUCUAUACAGUACAGGAGAGAGGUUAUACAUACAGUACAGGAGAGAGGUUAUCUUUACAGUACAGGAGAGAGGUUAUACAUACAGUACAGGAGAGAGGUUAUACAUACAGUACAGGAGAGAGGUUAUCUUUACAGUACAGGAGAGAGGUUAUCUAUACAGUACAGGAGAGAGGUUAUCUAUACAGUACAGGAGAGAGGUUAUACAUACAGUACAGGAGAGAGGUUAUACAUACAGUACAGGAGAGAGGUUAUGCAUACAGUACAGGAGAGAGGUUAUACAUACAGUACAGGAGAGAGGUUAUACAUACAGUACAGGAGAGAGGUUAUACAUACAGUACAGGAGAGAGGUUAUACAUACAGUACAGGAGAGAGGUUAUCUAUACAGUACAGGGGAGAGGUUAUCUUUACAGUACAGGAGAGAGGUUAUCUAUACAGUACAGGAGAGAGGUUAUCUAUACAGUACAGGAGAGAGGUUAUCUAUACAGUACAGGAGAGAGGUUAUCUAUACAGUACAGGAGAGAGGUUAUCUAUACAGUACAGGAGAGAGGUUAUCUAUACAGUACAGGAGAGAGGUUAUCUAUACAGUACAGGAGAGAGGUUGUCUAUACAGUACAGGAGAGAGGUUAUACAUACAGUACAGGAGAGAGGUUAUCUUUACAGUACAGGAGAGAGGUUAUCUAUACAGUACAGGAGAGAGGUUAUACAUACAGUACAGGAGAGAGGUUAUCUUUACAGUACAGGAGAGAGGUUAUACAUACAGUACAGGAGAGAGGUUAUACAUACAGUACAGGAGAGAGGUUAUACAUACAGUACAGGAGAGAGGUUAUACAUACAGUACAGGAGAGAGGUUAUACAUACAGUACAGGAGAGAGGUUAUCUAUACAGUACAGGGGAGAGGUUAUCUUUACAGUACAGGAGAGAGGUUAUCUAUACAGUACAGGAGAGAGGUUAUCUAUACAGUACAGGAGAGAGGUUAUACAGUACAGGAGAGAGGUUAUCUAUACAGUACAGGAGAGAGGUUAUCUAUACAGUACAGGAGAGAGGUUAUCUAUACAGUACAGGAGAGAGGUUAUCUAUACAGUACAGGAGAGAGGUUAUCUAUACAGUACAGGAGAGAGGUUAUCUAUACAGUACAGGAGAGAGGUUAUACAGUACAGGAGAGAGGUUAUCUUUACAGUACAGGAGAGAGGUUAUCUAUACAGUACAGGAGAGAGGUUAUACAGUACAGCAGAGAGGUUAUACAGUACAGGAGAGAGGUUAUACAGUACAGGAGAGAGGUUAUCUUUACAGUACAGGAGAGAGGUUAUACAGUACAGGAGAGAGGUUAUACAGUACAGGAGAGAUGUUAUCUAUACAGUACAGGAGAGAGGUUAUACAGUACAGGAGAGAGGUUAUACAGUACAGGAGAGAGGUUAUACAUACAGUACAGGAGAGAGGUUAUCUAUACAGUACAGGAGAGAUGUUAUCUUUACAGUACAGGAGAGAGGUUAUACAUACAGUACAGGAGAGAGGUUAUCUUUACAGUACAGGAGAGAGGUUAUACAGUACAGGAGAGAUGUUAUCUUUACAGUACAGGAGAGAGGUUAUACAUACAGUACAGGAGAGAGGUUAUACAGUACAGGAGAGAGGUUAUCUAUACAGUACAGGAGAGAGGUUAUCUAUACAGUACAGGAGAGAGGUUAUCUUUACAGUACAGGAGAGAGGUUAUCUAUACAGUACAGGAGAGAGGUUAUCUAUACAGUACAGGAGAGAUGUUAUCUUUACAGUACAGGAGAGAGGUUAUACAGUACAGUACAGGGGAGAGGUUCCCUCCUGUUUUUGGAGGGAAAACUCCUCUUUGUGUCAUUGUGUUCCAUUUUCAGGACGUCACAUUCCACCAAACCUGUGACCACCUCCGACUAACUAGCUCUCUUUCACUCCUCGGGAUCGUGUGUGUGUGUGUUUGGGGCCACAUUUCAAUGUGUGUGUGUAUUACCUAG
rnacentral:lncRNA from 1 species